UGCCAGAGAGACAGAACCAUUCACUCCCUGGAAAGGGGGCUGAAACCAGGGAGCCAAGUGGUCUAGCUCAGUUGAUCCCACCCCCAUGGCGCCCAGCAAGAAUUCUUCCAACUUUUAAAUGGAACACAAGUGUCCUUUUAAGGAUGUUCUGGGAGAUAUCAGAGUCUCAAAAAGCAGAUGACAUACUGUAGCCGAAAUGCCACCAACCUGAAAACAGAAGAGAACUUUGCAAGGCCAGAAUUCAGUUGUUUGUUCAAUUUUUCAAGCAAAGAAACCAUUUAGUUCUGAAAAGCAACCAGGGAGAAAUUUCUUGAAAAGUAGUCUGAAAAGAGACUGCAAUUUCCCCAAGUUCUCGGUCAGCAUAGGGAGGCUGUUAACAAGAUCAUCAGACUCCUAAACCUCUAGUAAUCAACGUUUUCUAAUAAAACCCAGGAUUUGUAAGCCUCAUAUUAACAAAUUGCAUCUGACUUAAGCUGGAUGGGCCUGACUUUAAAUGAUUUCAUUACUUGAUCUUUCUGUUCUUCCA
rnacentral:lncRNA from 1 species